UGGAACAAGUGUUAGUGUGUCACUUGUGUUUGCCUCUUCGUGAGGUUGUUCUCUCGAUAUUUUGUACUCUCUUUUACAUAAUGGAUUGCUCUCUGCCUGUGGACGUUGGUAAAUUGGCCGAACCUCGUUAAAUGUUUGUCUCUUUUGGUAUAUUUCUCUUUUGUUGUCUGAUUUAUCAUCGUUCAAGGUUUGUUUUACUAGCUUUCGCAUGAAACCUGAUUAUUUCGAUCCUAACAAGUGGUAUCUUGACGGCAACGUAAGGAAGUCUUGACACGUCGGCGGGGGCCUCAGAAAGAGUUAUCUUUUCUAUUUAACAGCCUGCCCAUCCUGGAAACAACUCAGUCGGAGGGAGAGUCCAGCGGCUGAAAGAGCACCGCACGUCGCGUGGUGUACGGUGCGCCUUCGGCGACCCUUGAAAAUCCGUAGGACGGAGUGUCGUCCAUGAUCGGUCGUACUCAUAACUGCAUCAGGUCUCCAAGGUGAACAACCUCU
rnacentral:ncRNA from 1 species